rnacentral:rRNA from 1 species
ACGAAGGUCCCAAGCGUUGUUCGGAUUUACUGGGCGUAAAGCGUCUGUAGGCGGCGAGGUAAGUCAGAUGUGAAAUCCCAGGGCUCAACCCUGGAACUGCAUCCGAUACUGCCUUGCUAGAGGGUCGGAGGGGAGUCUGGAAUUCUCGGUGUAGCAGUGAAAUGCGUAGAUAUCGAGAGGAACACUAGUGGCGAAGGCGAGACUCUGGACGACACCUGACGCUGAGAGACGAAGGCCAGGGUAGCGAAAAGG